rnacentral:tRNA from 1 species
GGGGCGGUGGCGAAAUGGCAGACGCCGAAGACUUAAAAUCUUCUGCUGCGAAAGCAGCGUGUGGGUUCGAGUCCCACCCGCCCUA